rnacentral:rRNA from 1 species
AGGACUAACGCUGGCGGCGUGCCUAACACAUGCAAGUCGAACGAGGUAGCAAUACCUAGUGGCAGACGGGUGAGUAACGCGUGGUCAACCUACCUCUUAGUGGGGGAUAACUAGCCGAAAGGUUAGCUAAUACCACAUACGAUCGUCGCGAGGCAUCUCGUGACGAUGAAAGGAGCAAUUCGCUAAGAGAGGGGACUGCGUCCCAUUAGUUAGUUGGUGGGGUAAUGGCCUACCAAGACUCCGAUGGGUAGCUGGCUUGAGAGAGCGACCAGCCACACUGGAACUGAGACACGGUCCAGACUCCUACGGGAGGCAGCAGUGAGGAAUUUUCCGCAAUGGGCGCAAGCCUGACGGAGCGACGCCGCGUGUGGAAGAAGGCCUUCGGGCGUAAACCACUGUCGAAGGGGACGAUAUUGACGGUACCCUUGGAGGAAGCCCCGGCUACUACGCGCCAGCAGCCGC